CCUACGGGAGGCAGCAGUGGGGAAUAUUGGGCAAUGGGCGCAAGCCUGACCCAGCAACGCCGCGUGAAGGAAGAAGGCCCUCGGGUUGUAAACUUCUUUUAUCAGGGACGAAGAAGUGACGGUACCUGAUGACUAAGCCACGGCUAACUACGUGCCAGCCGCCGCGGUCAUACGUAGGUGGCAAGCGUUAUCCGGAUUUACUGGGUGUAAAGGGCGUGUAGGCGGGGAAGCAAGUCAGAUGUGAAAUUCCAGGGCUCAACCCUGGAACUGCAUUUGAAACUGUUUUUCUUGAGUGAUGGAGAGGCAGGCGGAAUGCCGUGUGUAGCGGUGAAAGGCAUAGAUAUACGGAGGAACACCAGUGGCGAAGGCGGCCUGCUGGACAUUAACUGACGCUGAGGCGCGAAAGCGUGGGGAGCAAAUAGGAUUAGAUACCCGUGUAGUC
rnacentral:rRNA from 1 species